CGUAGAAUGCAGUAGAACGCUGAAGAGAGGAGCUUGCUCUUCUUGGAUGAGUUGCGAACGGGUGAGUAACGCGUAGGUAACCUGCCUUGUAGCGGGGGAUAACUAUUGGAAACGAUAGCUAAUACCGCAUAACAAUGGAUGACACAUGUCAUUUAUUUGAAAGGGGCAAUUGCUCCACUACAAGAUGGACCUGCGUUGUAUUAGCUAGUAGGUGAGGUAACGGCUCACCUAGGCGACGAUACAUAGCCGACCUGAGAGGGUGAUCGGCCACACUGGGACUGAGACACGGCCCAGACUCCUACGGGAGGCAGCAGUAGGGAAUCUUCGGCAAUGGGGGCAACCCUGACCGAGCAACGCCGCGUGAGUGAAGAAGGUUUUCGGAUCGUAAAGCUCUGUUGUAAGUCAAGAACGAGUGUGAGAGUGGAAAGUUCACACUGUGACGGUAGCUUACCAGAAAGGGACGGCUAACUACGUGCCAGCAGCCGCGGUAAUACGUAGGUCCCGAGCGUUGUCCGGAUUUAUUGGGCGUAAAGCGAGCGCAGGCGGUUUGAUAAGUCUGAAGUUAAAGGCUGUGGCUCAACCAUAGUUCGCUUUGGAAACUGUCAAACUUGAGUGCAGAAGGGGAGAGUGGAAUUCCAUGUGUAGCGGUGAAAUGCGUAGAUAUAUGGAGGAACACCGGUGGCGAAAGCGGCUCUCUGGUCUGUAACUGACGCUGAGGCUCGAAAGCGUGGGGAGCGAACAGGAUUAGAUACCCUGGUAGUCCACGCCGUAAACGAUGAGUGCUAGGUGUUGGAUCCUUUCCGGGAUUCAGUGCCGCAGCUAACGCAUUAAGCACUCCGCCUGGGGAGUACGACCGCAAGGUUGAAACUCAAAGGAAUUGACGGGGGCCCGCACAAGCGGUGGAGCAUGUGGUUUAAUUCGAAGCAACGCGAAGAACCCUUACCAGUCUUGACAUC
rnacentral:rRNA from 1 species